rnacentral:rRNA from 1 species
ACGGGUGAGUAACGCGUAAGCAAUCUGCCCCUAAGACGAGGAUAACAGUUGGAAACGACUGCUAAGACUGGAUAGGAGACAAGAAGGCAUCUUCUUGUUUUUAAAAGACCUAGCAAUAGGUAUGCUUAGGGAGGAGCUUGCGUCACAUUAGUUAGUUGGUGGGGUAAAGGCCUACCAAGACUAUGAUGUGUAGCCGGGCUGAGAGGUUGAACGGCCACAUUGGGACUGAGACACGGCCCAAACUCCUACGGGAGGCAGCAGUAGGGAAUUUUCGGCAAUGGAGGAAACUCUGACCGAGCAACGCCGCGUGAACGAUGAAGUAUUUCGGUACGUAAAGUUCUUUUAUUAGGGAAGAAUAAAUGAUGGAAAAAUCAUUCUGACGGUACCUAAUGAAUAAGCCCCGGCUAACUAUGUGCCAGCAGCCGCGGUAAUACAUAGGGGGCAAGCGUUAUCCGGAAUUAUUGGGCGUAAAGGGUGCGUAGGCGGUUAAAUAAGUUUAUGGUCUAAGUGCAAUGCUCAACAUUGUGAUGCUAUAAAAACUGUUUAGCUAGAGUAAGAUAGAGGCAAGUGGAAUUCCAUGUGUAGUGGUAAAAUGCGUAAAUAUAUGGAGGAACACCAGUAGCGAAGGCGGCUUGCUGGGUCUUUACUGACGCUGAGGCACGAAAGCGUGGGGAGCAAACAGGAUUAGAUACCCUGGUAGUCCACGCCGUAAACGAUGAGUACUAAACGUUGGGUAAAACCAGUGUUGAAGUUAACACAUUAAGUACUCCGCCUGAGUAGUACGUACGCAAGUAUGAAACUUAAAGGAAUUGACGGGACUCCGCACAAGCGGUGGAUCAUGUUGUUUAAUUCGAAGGUACCCGAAAAACCUCACCAGGUCUUGACAUGCUUCUGCAAAGCUGUAGAAACACAGUGGAGGUUAUCAGUUGCACAGGUGGUGCAUGGUUGUCGUCAGCUCGUGUCGUGAGAUGUUGGGUUAAGUCCCGCAACGAGCGCAACCCUUAUUGUUAGUUACCAGCACGUAAUGGUGGGGACUUUAGCAAGACUGCCAGUGAUAAAUUGGAGGAAGGUGGGGACGACGUCAAAUCAUCAUGCCCCUUAUGACCUGGGCUACAAACGUGAUACAAUGGCUGUUACAAAGGGUAGCUGAAGCGCAAGUUUUUGGCGAAUCUCAAAAAAACAGUCUCAGUUCGGAUUGAAGUCUGCAACUCGACUUCAUGAAGUUGGAAUCGCUAGUAAUCGCGAAUCAGCAUGUCGCGGUGAAUACGUUCUCGGGGUUUGUACACACCGCCCGUCAAACCACGAAAGUUGGCAAUACCCAAAGCCGGUGG